GGGCGAUUAGCUCAGCUGGUUAGAGCACCUGCCUUACAAGCAGGGGGUCACAGGUUCGAAUCCUGUAUCGCCCA
rnacentral:tRNA from 1 species